rnacentral:lncRNA from 1 species
CCCGUUGUUACGUUACGUGCGUGGUACACUUUCGCGAACGUUCCGUGCCCUAGGAGACGACCUAGCUCGUAACGGCCGUGGAGGAGCCCCGCACCGUCAGAUCCUUUCUCCAUCGUUUUCACCGGUUUAGCUCCGACCAUUGUUUUUUAACCAAAAAAAAAAGGGAAAAAAAAAAGAUUUAAGCUUUGGAUCUUUGGUGUUUAGAAACUAAUCACCCGUCCUCAACGUGUUUCCGGUGGCUGUUUCUGCCGCCGACAGAUCGGUUAAACCGAUCACACAGCUUAGUCUUCACCGGCGAAUCUCCGACCAUCUCUCUGCAUUCCCUUCCAAGUUUUUUUUCUCCUUUUUUCUCAAAAUCAGUAUAGAGAGAGAAAAAUGAAAACAAGAUCUAAGUGAAACACGAAACUCGUUGUUAUGUUUUUUCUUUUCACCGGACAAAAGCAGAGAAAGAGUUGUCUUUAUAUAGAUCUUAACGAUUUUGUUAUUACGUAAGUGCCCUUAUUAGUAGUGAGUAAUUAACUUUAUAUAGAUCUUAACUUUACCGUUUACUCUUCCGUGAAUUGGCCCCCACAGGUGUGUGGAGACUUCCUUGUGGCGGCUUCGUGAUAAUCAAUUAUUUGAGAGGGACGACGACUCGUGUCCUUAUACUACCGGUUGAGAUAACAGUUU